UAUUUCAUUCUCUCGCGCCCAGUCCAUCAUUCUUUCAGCUCUCGCGCUCGGCGCUUGUUUGCUGACGAACAAAACCCGAUAAAGGAUGUAAAUGAAUGAAAGGAGAGAGGCUCGUGCACGCAGAGCUGGAACAAAAGCAAACGAAGCUCAAAUGGAGGAGCGAUUAGAUGCUGCAGAGGCUCAGAGCUGCUUCUCCUCCAACUUUCAUCCCUCACUUUCAUCUGAAGCUGAAGACACGAGCACACGAACGUGCCGAAAGCGUCUCAUCGAUGCUGAACUCUUCUUCAGCUCAUACAGAGAGAUGGAGAGAUAAACAUGUGAAGUUCACAGACAGCUCUGGCCAGCGGCGCUCCGGCUCUCGUCCUCUCGAGGCGAGCGCUAGCAUGCGGAGGCUGGGAAGUCUUUGAGGAUGCCGGACGCUCAGAACAGCCCGAGAGAUUGAUAUGAGAAAGAGAAAGCGAUGUGGGUCCGGUCUCGCCUGCAGGAGAAUCAGCAGAGAUUAGACGUGAAAGACAAAUUGGGAUGGAUCUGACCUGCUGAUGAGAUCCUCCGUCACUCUGAAGAUUCACUGAUGUCACUUCCUGUGAUGCUGGAAGACGGACUCAGUCACAUCCAACUGGAGGAUGAAUUUGUGAUUUAACUUCACCCACGGACUUUAGCGCUGAUGGAAACAAACACAGACCAUCAGAAACUAUCGGUCCUGCUCUGGUUUUUAUGAUCUUGUUCAUAUUUUUACUGGCUUCCAGUGUAGAAAACAAACACAUUCUGGAUGUUUGCUGUUUUACAUCAUCAUCACCUGCAGAAGCACAUGGAGGUUCACAGCACACAGGUGAGCUCAUAAAACAGGUAAGUGAAUCUAAAAAUGCACAUGCUGAUAGAUAGAGACGCUUAGUGUUGCAUUUCAACCGCUGAAUGUGACUGAUUCUCUGUUUCACACACACUUUCUCCUCAAGCACUCUGUAUGAAUUAUAAAAUCUGUACAUGAAUAUUUUAAUAACAUUUGGACCUGUAAUGUAAUGACCCACAGAAAAUAAUACUGAAAUGAGCAAUUAAAUACCAGUAAAGCUGUAAUUUAUCAUUUAAACCUUGAACAAUACUGAAUGUGUGAUGAUAUUCAAUAAAGCCUCUACUUAUA